UAGUAGGAUUUAUUGUCCACUACCAUACAUUCAUCAUAGGACUUAGAAAAUUCCCACUAACAUGCUUAUAAAUUCCCACUAGCCAAUAUAAUGACUUAGUGCACCACUAGAAAGCAUUUAGAGAGCCUAGGGAGCAACUAAAAGGUCAUCUAAAAACCCUCCUAAUACCAAAAACGAAAAUUACAAUAAAAAUAAAGAAAAUUGGACUUAAUUUUUUUCUAUUUAGUCCAAUAUUAUUAGACCAUAAAUCAGCCCAAAGAUGCUUCUUAUCAUGUGAAAUGGACUUCAAGUUGGGCUCAAGCAUCUUCAUCCAAAUAUUUUUUGUGCAUUUUUUUUUAAGUUUCCUUCCACAUGUUUAGAGAACUCAUGAUCGUAUCAUUAAGUCUUAUAGAAUCAAGGUCUAACUAAAUUCUAGCAGUUAUAUUCCCUUCAUACGCACGCACACGCGCGACUAUGCCUUUACACCUUCUAGUGACGACAUUUCUCAAUCUUCAUUUCUUCUCAUGUGGAGUUCAUGGUUCUUAUGAUCAUAACACAUAUACACUUCCCCUAUGAUGAUGCCUCUGCUACUGUAAUAUAAUUUAACUUACCAUUAAUUAGUUCUAGUUCAUAUAGUAUGGUUUAUCUUUGUUUUUAUUGUACAGGUAAUUUGACAUGCUUUGAUAUAUGAAUUAAGAAGUGGCCAACGCCAAAGUAAGACGUUCAACCUUUUGGUCAUCAUUUUCUACUUCGUUCAAUUCUUGGGUUUCAAUUUUGCUGUUAUAUUUUCUUUGUAUUGUGGUUUUCUCAAUUUGGGAGAAUCUUGUGUAUAUGAGUGUGCAUUUAGUGAUGGAUAUUGGUUUGUUAAAAAUGCUAUUGUGGUGCAUAAUUGUAUGCCUAUGUGUAAGUCGUUUGAGUUCUUUUUAGUGUAGGUUCAAGUGUGUGUACAAGUGUACUAGAAUUGUUAAACUAGUAAUGGAUUUAAAGGACGAAUGAGCGGAACACAUGCUAGAGUUAUUCGCAUCAUGUGGCAAAGAAGCGAGAACUUAAAAACUUAAUUAGUUGAGUCUAAAAUUAAUCCUUUACCUUUUGUAAAAAAAAAUAUAAUUAAUUUUUUAUUUGAGUAAAACU
rnacentral:lncRNA from 1 species